rnacentral:misc_RNA from 1 species
UGUGAAGAUGAACCAAACAGUUCAUCUUCACCUUUGCAACUUGAGAUGAUUCCUGGGAAGGACUCUGCUAUAGCAUCUGAAAGCAGUUGCUUGCAGUCAAGUUCAGGUCAUAUGGUGCAGACUUUGGAAGCUAAUAAGAAUAGACAAGAGGAAGAUAACAACAAGCAUAAUUUUCCAAUGAAACAGAUAUUGCACUUGGAAACUAAUUGGUAUACUAGUCCAGAAGAGGUUAAUG